rnacentral:misc_RNA from 1 species
AUCCACGACGCCGCCAAGUCGCUGGAGGGCUGAGCCAUGAACGUUCACAUCAAGAACACAGUCACCCGCGCAUCCGCUCUCUCGCGCCGCUCGCUUCUGAAGGCGGGAGCGGGACUCGCGAUCGGCGUUUAUAUCGCCAGGAGCGGCAAGGCCUUUGCGCAAGCGCCGGCUGCCGCGCAGGUCAACAUCACCCCGAAUACGUUUCUGAUCAUCAAGCCCGACGACACGGUCACGGUGCU